GCAGGUCGAGCGACAGAGAAGGAGCUUGCUCCUUCGACGUUAGCGGCGGACGGGUGAGUAACACGUGGGCAACCUACCUUAUAGUUUGGGAUAACUCCGGGAAACCGGGGCUAAUACCGAAUAAUCUGUUUCACCUCAUGGUGAAACACUGAAAGACGGUUUCGGCUGUCGCUAUAGGAUGGGCCCGCGGCGCAUUAGCUAGUUGGUGAGGUAACGGCUCACCAAGGCGACGAUGCGUAGCCGACCUGAGAGGGUGAUCGGCCACACUGGGACUGAGACACGGCCCAGACUCCUACGGGAGGCAGCAGUAGGGAAUCUUCCACAAUGGGCGAAAGCCUGAUGGAGCAACGCCGCGUGAGUGAAGAAGGAUUUCGGUUCGUAAAACUCUGUUGUAAGGGAAGAACAAGUACAGUAGUAACUGGCUGUACCUUGACGGUACCUUAUUAGAAAGCCACGGCUAACUACGUGCCAGCAGCCGCGGUAAUACGUAGGUGGCAAGCGUUGUCCGGAAUUAUUGGGCGUAAAGCGCGCGCAGGUGGUUUCUUAAGUCUGAUGUGAAAGCCCACGGCUCAACCGUGGAGGGUCAUUGGAAACUGGGAGACUUGAGUGCAGAAGAGGAUAGUGCAAUUCCAAGUGUAGCGGUGAAAUGCGUAGAGAUUUGGAGGAACACCAGUGGCGAAGGCGACUAUCUGGUCUGUAACUGACACUGAGGCGCGAAAG
rnacentral:rRNA from 1 species